CGAUAUCAAUAAGCGGAGGAAAAGAAAAUAACAAUGAUUCCCCUAGUAACUGCGAGUGAAGAGGGAUAAGCUCAAAUUUUAAAUCUGACGGGUCCUACUUUUCAGAGUUGUAAUUUGAAGAAGCGUUUUCUGCGUCUUGUUAACCUAAAUCUUUUGGAACAAGGUAUCAUGGAGGGUGACAGUCCCGUUCAUGGUUAACAUCAAGAUGCGUUACGAUACGUUUUCUAAGAGUCGAGUUGUUUGGGAUUGCGGCUCAAAAUGGGAGGUAAAUUUCUCCUAAGGCUAAAUAUUGGCGAGAGACCGAUAGCGAACAAGUACCGUGAGGGAAAGAUGAAAAGAACUUUGAGAAGAGAGUUGAACAGUACGUGAAAUUGUUGAAAGGGAAACGAUUGAAGUCAGUCGUACUAACGGGAAAUCAACCUAUUUGGGUUGUGAAUUUUGGAUUUUGAAGAGUGUAAACCUUUGGGGUUCAAACAUUUGCGCUCUUUAGGCGUAAUUUCUCGUUCGGUAGGUUAACAUCGAUUUUGAAGAUUAUAAAAUGACCGGAGGAAUGUAGCUUCGAUCUCGUAUUGAAGUGUUAUAGCCUUUGGUAGAUGUAAUGAUCAAGAUCGAGGAUUGCAACGAAUACCCUUUUGGGCUAUCCGUCUGGUCUCUGAUACGUUGCCUCGGUAACGAAAGCUUGCUUACGGUAUUGAGGUAUUACGGUCAAUAGGUUAGAACGUGAUUACAUUCGUUAAGGAUGUUGACGUA
rnacentral:rRNA from 1 species